GGCCUUGAGCCGGAAGCACUAGCUGUAGGUGCCUUCCCGGAACAUCCCGACUUAUCUACACUUUCCUCGCAGAGUCCGGAGCUCGCGAGUCCCGCACUGCAACCCGAACGCUUCUUGAUGGUCCCGCUGUUCGCAAAAGGGUUUGCGGACAGGCUGCAGGCAGUGGGAGCUCACACCCCUGCCCUCCAGAGAACCUGCAGAGACAGCUCUAGGGACAGGACCCUGCUCCGCGGUGAUGACUGUGCCUGCCCUCAACUUCCGCUUCCGCUCUCGAAUGUACUUGUUCCAUCUUCCUCCGGGCGGAAACCUCCACGGGGCUGACCGUGGCUGCACAUUCCGGUUUGCAAUUUUUUCUGCCUGAAUAAAUCAGUUUUGCUGAAUGAA